AUCCCGAACACGGAAGUUAAGCUCCUUCGCGCCGAUGGUACUGCAUGGGCGACUGUGUGGGAGAGUAGGUGCCGCCGGAU
rnacentral:rRNA from 1 species